rnacentral:lncRNA from 1 species
ACCCUCCUGCACGGCUCUAACCACCAGGCUGACCCUACGCUGCCGCUUAACCACCAGCUACCCUGACCCUGCCCUCUAACCACCAGGUACCCUGCCCUGCCCUCUAACCACCAGGGUACCCUACCCCUGCCUCUAACCACCAGGCUACCCUAACCCUGCCCUACCUGCCCUCUAACCACCAGGCUACCUACCCUGCCCUCUAACCACCAGGCUACCCUACCCUGCCCCUAACCACCAGCCUACCCUGCCCUGACCCUCAAACCCCAUGCGACCCUACCCUGCCCUCUAACCACCAGGCUACCUGUCCUGCCCUCUAACCACCAGGUACCCUCCCUGCCCUCUACCACCAGGGUACCCUACCCUGCCCUCUAACCACGCUACCCUACCCUGCCCUCUAACCACCAGGCUACCCUACCCGCCCUCUAACCACCAGGCUACCCUAGCCCUGCCCUCAACCACCAGGCUACCCUGCCCGCCUCUAACCACCAGUGUACCCUACCCCUGCCCUCUAACCAAUGGCUACCCGAUGCCCUGCCCCUCUAACCACCAGGGUACCCUCCCCUGCCCUAAACCACCAGGCUACCCUACCCUGCCCUCUAACCACCAGCUCACCUGCCCUGCCCUCUAACCACCAGGGUACCCUGCCCUGCCCUACCACCAGGGUACCCUCCCUGCCCUCUAACCACCAGGUUACCCUACCCUGCCCUCUAACCACCAGGUACCCUCCCUGCCCUCUAACACCAUGCUACCCUACUGCCUGCCCUCUAACCACCAGGGUACCCUACCCUGCCCUCUAACCACCAGGCUACCACUGCCCGCCCUCUAACCACCAGGUACCUGCCUCCCUUACCACCAGGGUACCCUGCCCUGCCCUCUAACCACCAGGGUUACCCACCUGCCCUCUAACCACCAGGCUACCCUGCCCUGUUUCAUAUAUGUAGACACAUAGAGAAAUCACACACAUUGUAUUGUCAGAAGGUUACAACAAAGAUUACUAGACUGAAACAAAAACAUAUCUAUGUACCAUUAUGUACGAGUAAAAAAAUAAAUAGUUUGAAAUAUAUGUA